rnacentral:lncRNA from 1 species
AGCCAGAAUGAACUGCCAUUUGUACCUCCAUCUGUUUUUCCUUGGUCUCCAGAAAGCUGGUUAGUUAUGGACAACUGUGAAGCUUAUAUCCAAAAGGUAUGCAUCUGGAAGAUGGAGGACUAUAGUAUAUAUAGAUUCAUGAGCAAACCUCUUCAAUUCAUCUAGGAAUGUCGUCUCUAAAAAAAAUCCAUAAGGAGACUACUGAUACCUAAUGGGAGGAACAGAGAAAUGAGAACUGAAAUAUUACCUUUAAAAUUAACUCAUUAAAUUCAUAUUAAAAUUUAAUAAUUUCUUUGUAAUACAGUUAUUUUUCCUUUAUCUGAUAUAGGUUAUUCAAUUAUCUUAACUUUAGUUUUUGUCCAGUGUAUUCACAAGUUCAUAGUUGUGUUUUGUAAGUUAUAAUGAACUAAAGUCUUCUACCUAUAUUUUAAAGUAUUUAAAUUAAUGUUUAAAAGGGAGCAGUUUUUGAAGAUUUCAGGUCCUUUAGAAGACUUGCUGGUGCAUGGAAGGGUCUAAAUUUACUAGCAGUUAGAUUAUGUACCUCUAAGAAGGAUGGUUGAAGAAAUAUCACAGGAAGCCACUGGUCACUUUCUUAUUGCUCAUCCAGAAACAAGAAUAUAAAAUGAAUGAAAAGAAAUGCUUUGUGAGAGAGGAAAAGAAAUGUUUCUAAAAUUAAACAAAACAACUUUAAAAGGAGUUCAAUAGAAAAAUGUUUUCUUGCCAAAUUAUAAUUCCUUUGAAUUUCAUUAUUUCAAUCCACUAGUUAAAAAUAGAUUUUUUAAAGUGGCUCUGGGAAGGAUUCCUUGCAUAAGUUAUUUUGUUUUAUAAAAGAUGGAAAUAUUUCUUCUAUUCUGCCACCAUUUGGG